AGCGAACGCUGGCGGCAGGCCUAACACAUGCAAGUCGAACGAACUCUUCGGAGUUAGUGGCGGACGGGUGAGUAACACGUGGGAACGUGCCUUUAGGUUCGGAAUAACUCAGGGAAACUUGUGCUAAUACCGAAUGUGCCCUUCGGGGGAAAGAUUUAUCGCCUUUAGAGCGGCCCGCGUCUGAUUAGCUAGUUGGUGAGGUAAAGGCUCACCAAGGCGACGAUCAGUAGCUGGUCUGAGAGGAUGAUCAGCCACAUUGGGACUGAGACACGGCCCAAACUCCUACGGGAGGCAGCAGUGGGGAAUCUUGCGCAAUGGGCGAAAGCCUGACGCAGCCAUGCCGCGUGAAUGAAGAAGGUCUUAGGAUUGUAAAAUUCUUUCACCGGGGACGAUAAUGACGGUACCCGGAGAAGAAGCCCCGGCUAACUUCGU
rnacentral:rRNA from 1 species